AACGAACGCUGGCGGCAUGCCUAACACAUGCAAGUCGAACGAUUGCCUUCGGGUGAUAGUGGCGCACGGGUGCGUAACGCGUGGGAAUCUGCCCUUAGGUUCGGAAUAACAGCUGGAAACGGCUGCUAAUACCGGAUGAUAUCGCGAGAUCAAAGAUUUAUCGCCUGAGGAUGAGCCCGCGUUGGAUUAGGUAGUUGGUGGGGUAAAGGCCUACCAAGCCGACGAUCCAUAGCUGGUCUCAGAGGAUGAUCAGCCACACUGGGACUGAGACACGGCCCAGACUCCUACGGGAGGCAGCAGUGGGGAAUAUUGGACAAUGGGCGCAAGCCUGAUCCAGCAAUGCCGCGUGAGUGAUGAAGGCCCUAGGGUUGUAAAGCUCUUUUACCCGGGAAGAUAAUGACUGUACCGGGAGAAUAAGCCCCGGCUAACUCCGUG
rnacentral:rRNA from 1 species